AAUGAAGCGCCAUGGAGGGUGAGAGCCCCGUCCAUCCCGCACAGGAUCCAUUCGUACAAGGACGCUUCAACCGAGUCGGGUAGCUUGGGAAUGCUGCUCUAAUUGGUGGUAAAUCUCAUCAAAGGCUAAAUAGUGGUGGGAGACCGAUAGCGAACAAGUACCGUGAGGGAAAGAUGGAAAGAACUUUGAAAAGAGAGUGAAAAGCACUUGAAACCGUCACGGGGGAAGCGGAUUGCGUGAGUGAUGGUGUCGCUUGUUCAGCGCUUUAUUGCGUGCAUUCUGGCGGCGCCGUGCCGGCGUGGCUGGCUGGACUGUGAUUUUGACAGUCUCGGCUGGUGAGGGCUCCCUCGUAUGAGGUGAGGACGCGGGCAAAAUGACGCAAUACGACCCGUCUUGAAACACGGACCAAGGAGUCUAGCACGGCUGCGAGUCGAAGAGUGAUUAAACUCAAGGGCGCAGUGAAAGCGAAAUUAUAAGCAAAUUGGGGAGGCGUUGCGUUUUUAACAAAAUGUCCUACCUCGAGCAUUUGUGCUGGGACCCGAAAGAUGGUGAACUAUGCCGGAGUAGGGCAAAGCCAGAGGAAACUCUGGUGGAGGCUCGUAGCGAUGCUGACGUGCAAAUCGCUCGUCGAACUUGGGUAUAGGGGCGAAAGACUAAUCGAACCAUCUAGUAGCUGGUUCCCUCCGAAGUUUCUCUCAGGAUAGCGGGCCGACACGCGUUUGUUGUUUUGUGCGGUAAAGCGAAUGAUUAGUGCAUUUGGGGUACGAAGUACUUCGGGCGAUUCUCAAACUUUAAAUGCGCAAGGGGGUGGCUGCUUAAUUGAGCCUACUCUUUGAAAAACGUCGGCCCUGUGGGCCACUUUUGGUAAGCAGAACUGGCGAUAAGGGAUGAACCUUAAGCGCGGUU
rnacentral:rRNA from 1 species